GACGAACCGUGCGAACGUUGUUCGGAUUCACUGGGCUUAAAGGGCGCGUAGGCGGCUCGCCAAGUCGGGGGUGAAAUCUUUCGACUCAACCGGAAAACAGCUUCCGAUACUGGCGGGCUCGAGUGGGGUAGGGGCGACUGGAACUUCCGGUGGAGCGGUGAAAUGCGUAGAUAUCGGAAGGAACGCCGGUGGCGAAAGCGAGUCGCUGGACCCCUCCUGACGCUGAGGCGCGAAAGCCAGGGGAGCGAACGGG
rnacentral:rRNA from 1 species